GCCAUCUGAAUCCAACACAUAUACUAAAAUUGGAAUGAUACAGAGGAGAUUAGCAUGGCCCUGUGCAAGGAUGACACGCAAAUUCAUGAAGUGUUCCAUAUUCAU
rnacentral:snRNA from 1 species